rnacentral:rRNA from 1 species
AGUCGUACCAAGGUUUCCGUAGGUGAACCUGCGGAAGGAUCAUUACAGUAUGAUUAGAGGGGUUUGAUGCUGGCUUUUAACUAAGCAUGUGCGCACCCUUCGACUUCAAUCCACAUACACCUGUGCACCCUUGGCGAGUCAGUCUCCCAGCUGCAAAGUUGCGUCCUUGUGAAUUUAUUCGCUUGGAAUUGGGGCUGCUUGUCAUAACACAUAUACAUUAAUACCAGUUUAUAACGCAUGUUUAUUUGCUCUACGGAGCUUUAACAAAAUACAACUUUCAACAACGGAUCUCUUGGCUUUCGCAUCGAUGAAGAACGCCGCGAACGUGCGAAACGUAAUGUGAAUUGCAGAAUUCAGUGAAUCAUCGAAUCUUUGAACGCAUCUUGCGCUCCUUGGUAUUCCGAGGAGCAUGCCUGUUUGAGUGUCGUGAAUACUCUCAAUCUUAAGUCUUUUUUUUACGAGAAGGCCUUAGGGUUGGAUUUGGAUGUUGCUGCGAUUUUAUUGCGGCUCGUCUCGAAAUGCAUUAGCUGGUCCACCUCGGUCUUAACAAACGGUGUGAUAAGAAACAUUCAUUUGUGACUGUAGCGCUGCUGUUAUAGACUGGUGAAAGGACUGCUUCUAAUCGUCUUCGGACAAUUUUCAUGUCAUCUGACCUCAAAUCAGGUAGGACUACCCGCUGAACUUAACAUAUCCA